AAAAAAAAAAACAAAUAAAUAAAUAAAUAUAUAUAUAUAUAUAUAUAUAAGAGAAGUAUAGAUAAUCGAAAUAUAGAUAAGCGAAAUAUAGAUAAGCGUAUGCAUUUGAUACAUUAAGUGAUUGAUAACGCAGUUUUAUGAAAGUACAUAUAUAUAUAAUAUACAUUUUGAUGUGCAUUUGCGAAUAUUCUGUGUAUUAGACAAAUGUUUAUUUAAUGAUAGUUCGCAAAACGUGCAUGUGAAAAAAUAAAAAAAAAAAAAAAAUUAAAAAAUAUUGGAUCUAUAAGAAAAAAAAAAUUCAUCGAAAAAAUAUUACACAAAAAAAAAUUUUGAAAAAAAAUUUAUAAGAAUCCAAAUAUUUUUUAAAAAUAAUAUAAAAUUAUUUAACAUAUAAAAAAAAAUCGUUAGAAACCACAUAAAUUAUGAAAUAUAUAAUUCUAUAAUAUCGAUAGAUUACAUAUUUUGAAACGUGUAAAAAUAUACAUUUUGCUUUAUUUUUUAAAAUAAUAAAUCAUUUUAUUGAAUAGAAAGUAUAAAGUUAUCGUUUAUAGUAUAUAUUACUAUAAGAAGCAGAAAAAAUAAAAGGAGUAUAUUUAAUCAAUAUGGGAGAUGCGAAGCCAAUUAGAGAAGAAUUGUUGGAUGAUGACAUUGGCAAUUUUGUCAAUUUUGCGCAUAAUGAUGAGGAUUCUCAUGUACAUACUAAUAGUAGUGGCCAUGAAAAUGAGGAAUCGGAGAAUGCUAUGACGAGAUCUGCUGGUGUUAACGCAUACGAACCAGUGUAUUAUUUUACAACGACUGACUAUGUUUGUAUAGUAGUAACGUUUUUUAUUUUGCUGAGUUGUUUGGUGUUAAUUUUUGACUACAUCUAUCGCACUAUUGAUCCUAUUUAUGAUUUUUCGCGAUUAUGCGUAACCCUG
rnacentral:lncRNA from 1 species